rnacentral:rRNA from 1 species
CUAAAUACACUUUCCAGUAUAUUUACUUUGUUACGACUUAUUUUUUAUUUCUAAAAAAUUGACGGGCAAUUUGUACAUAUUUUAAACUUUAUUCAAAUAAAAUAAUUUAUUUAUUUUACUAUUAAAUUCUUUAAUGUUAAAUUAUUAAAAUUAAUAACAAUAAUAAAUUAAUUUUAUUGUAACUCAUUUUUUCUUAAAUAUUAAUUACAUAUUGAUCUGAAAUAUAAUUUAAUUAAAUUUUAUAAAAAUAUUUUUUUAAAAUUUUUUUAUAACGAACAUACAUAAAUAUUAUAAUUUAAGUUUAUCUUUUCGUGGAUUAUCAAUUAUAAAAUAAGUUCCUCUAAUUAGAUUUAAAUACCGCCAUAAAUUUUAAUUUUCAUAAAUUUACUAAUUUAAUAAUUAAUUAUUUAAAAAUAAUAGGGUCUCUAAUCCUAGUUUUUUAUAUUAAUUUUAUAUUAAUAAUUUUAUUAAAUUAAUUAAUUAAUAAAUUUAAAAUUUUAUCAUUAAAUUUAUUAUAUUUAUUAAAUAUGAUAUUAAAUUUAUUUAUAUUAAUUGAAUAAAUUAAUUUAUUUUAUUUUGUUUAACCGCUAAUGCUGGCACAAAAUUUUUCUAAAUUUAUAAAAAAUUUCUAUUAUUUAAAUUAUUAAAUUAAUAAUUUUAUAUAUUAAUAUUUUAUUAUUAUUUAAAUUUUUAAAUUAUAUAUAUAUAUAAAUUUUAUAAUUAAUUGAUUAAACUAAAUUAAAAUUUU